AUGGAGACCAUGGAGAUGCUUCUCCUGGUGGUGGUCAUGGUGGUCGCCAUGGAGACCGUGAAGAUGCUUCUCCUGGUGCUGGUGGCCCUGGAGAUCGUUGUGGUCGCCAUGGAAACCGUGAAGGUGCUUCUCCUGGUGCUGGUCCCCGUGCUUCUCCUGCUGGUGGUGGCCGUGGAGACCGUGGGGAUGUUUCUCCAGGUGAUGGUUGCCAUGGAGACCAUCGUGGUCGCCAUGGAGAUCCUUGUGGUUGCCCUGGUGACCGCCAUGGUGGUCCCUGUGCUUCUCCUGGUGGCGGUUGCCAUGGUGACCGUCGUGGUCGCCGUGGAGAUCAUAAAGAUGUUUCUCCAUGUGGUGGUUGCCAUGGAGACCAUCGUGGUGGUGGUCCCCAUGGUUUUCAUGGUGGUGGUUGCCAUGGAGACCAUAAUGGUUGCUAUGGAGAUGGUGGGGAUGCUUCUCCUGGCGGUGGUUGCCAUGGAGACCGUCGUGGUGGUCCCCGCGCUUCUCCUGGUGAUGGUUGCCAUGGAGAUCGUCGUGGUUGCCAUGGAAACCAUCGUGGUUGCCAUGGAAACCAUGGGCAUGCUUCUCCUGGUGGUGGUCGCCAUGGAAACCAUCGUGGUUGCCAUGGAAACCAUCGUGGUUGCCAUGGAGAUCAUCAUGGUUGUCAUGGUGACCGUGAUGCUGGGCGUGGUCCCCGUGCUUCUCCUGGUGGUGGUUGCCAUGGAGACCAUGAAGAUGUUUCUCCAGGUGAUGGUUGCCACGCAGAUGGUGGUGGUUGCCAUGGUGACCGUCACGGACAUCCCCGUGCUUUUCCUGGUGGUGGUUGCCAUGGUGACCAUCGUGGUCGCCAUGGCGACCGUGGGGAUGUUUCUCCUGGUGGUGGUCACCAUGGUGACCAUGAAGAUGCUUCUCCUGGUGGUGGUCACCAUGGAGACCAUGGUGGUUGCCAUGGAGACCAUGGGGAUGCUUUUCAUGGUGGUUGCCGUGGAGAUCGUUGUGGUUGCCAUGGUGACCAUGAAGAUGUUUCUCUUGGUGGUGGUCACCAUGGAGACCAUCGUGGUU
rnacentral:lncRNA from 1 species